rnacentral:rRNA from 1 species
GACGAACGCUGGCGGCAUGCCUAACACAUGCAAGUCGAACGAGACCUUCCUGUCUAGUUGCGCACGUCUGCGUACCGCGUGGUAAGCUGCCCUUAGGUUCCGAAUAACUCCCCGUAAGAGGUGCUAAUACCGGUUAAUGUCUUCGGAGCAAAGAUUUUUGGCCUUUGGAUGGGCGCGUGUUGGAUUCGGUGGUUGGUAGGGUAAAAGCCUACCAAGGAGUCGUUCCAGAGCUGGUCUGAUAGGAUGCCACUCCGGAAUGGGACUGAGACACGGCCCAGUCUCGUACGCGAGGCAGCAGUGGGGAACAUUGGAGGAUGGGCGAAAGCGUAAUCAAGCCAUGCCGGGGGAGUCAUGAAUGCCUUAGGAUUGUAAAGCUCCUUUACCCGGGAUGAUAAUGACAGUACCGGGAGAAGAAGCUCCGGCUAACUCCGUG